AUGUCGUGAUGGGGGCAGCUUAGGAUGUACUCUUGUAGCCGCUCCCAUGCUUCAGGGAUUGUUUCGCUGGCAUUUUGUUGAAAACUGGCAAUCCUUCCCCUCAAAGCAU
rfam:Sorghum bicolor cultivar BTx623 chromosome 8, whole genome shotgun sequence.